UGGAAACAGCCGAGGGGGCCCCAGGCCAGAGGAGAAAGCACAAGAAUAACCUGCGAAACCAAAUUCGAUACUGAAAGAUAUGUGGCCUCGUAGCCCAGUGUCUAUGCAGGCUGUCCAUAAAAAUGAUUUCAUUUGGAAUACGUCCCUUGUUCCGUCCACUGACUGGCUGUUUAAAACAGGGGCUCUUAACUCUGGUCCUCAGAGAUCUCCAACCGGGCAGGUCUUUGCUCCGAGCAGCGAAUCAUCGAAGUGAUGAAAACCCACCGGUUUGCGCUGUGGACAGACUCUCCCGUGCCCUAACCGCUGGCUGAGAGUCAUGUCUGACUGCGGAGUUGGGGGGCAGGACCCUCUGGCUUCCCCAG